rnacentral:rRNA from 1 species
GUUUGAUCCUGGCUCAGGAUAAACGCUGGCGGUGUGCUUUAUGCAUGCAAGUCGAACGGUCCCGAUUUAUCGGGAUAGUGGCGAACGGGUGAGUAACACGCAAGUAACCUAUCCCAAAGUAGGGAAUAACUUUGAGAAAUCGGAGCUAAUACCUUAUGUGGUGGUGGGGGUAAUGCUCCAUCACUAAAGCCUUCGGGUGCUUGGGGAGGGGCUUACGUCCGAUUAGCUAGUUGGUAAGGUAACGGCCUACCAAGGCAAUGAUCGGUAGCUGGUCUGAGAGGAUGGUCAGCCACACUGGGACUGAGGCACGGCCCAGACUCCUACGGGAGGCAGCAGCAAGGAAUAUUGUGCAAUGGGCGAAAGCCUGACACAGCGACACCGCGUGGGGGAAGAAGGCCUUCGGGUCGUAAACCCCUUUUCUCAGGGAAGAAUAAUGACGGUACCUGAGGAAUAAGUCUCGGCUAACUACGUGCCAGCAGCCGCGGUAAUACGUAGGAGGCGAGCGUUAUCCGGAUUUAUUGGGCGUAAAGCGGGCGUAGGCGGCUCUUCAAGUCAGAUGUAAAAUCUCCCGGCUCAACUGGGAGGGAACGUUUGAUACUGCUAGGCUAGAGUGCAGCAGAGGGAGGUAGAAUUCCCGGUGUAGUGGUGAAAUGCGUAGAUAUCGGGAGGAAUACUAGUGGCGAAGGCGGCCUCCUAGGCUGUAACUGACGCUGAGGCCCGAAAGCGUGGGGAGCGAACAGGAUUAGAUACCCUGGUAGUCCACGCCGUAAACGAUGGACACUAGGUAUGGGGAGUAUCGACCCUUUCCGUGCCGAAGCUAACGCAUUAAGUGUCCCGCCUGGGGAGUACGGUCGCAAGACUAAAACUCAAAGGAAUUGACGGGGGUCCGCACAAGCAGCGGAGCGUGUGGUUUAAUUCGAUGCAACACGAAGAACUUACCAAGGCUUGACAUGUCGGAAGUAGCGAACCGAAAGGU